UCUUUGAAAGCUUUAAAGAAGCAACGGACUUUUAAUCCGAUGACUGGCACUCUAGUGCCUCAAAGAA
rnacentral:tRNA from 1 species